ensembl:lncRNA
AAUGUUACCCAUGUGGUCGACCAAAAAAAGUCAGUUGAUGUUAUCUUGUUGGAUUUCUGUAAAGCUUUUGACACUGCUUCUCACAUUUUGCUGGAUAAAAUGCUCAGUGUACAUCCUGAGAAAAACAUAACAUGAUGGAUCCAAAUUCCUUGUUAUAUAUCGAUCCACUAUACAGUAUUUAUUAACUUCUGCAUCCACCGCAAUGUGUCAGCAGAAAUAUCUUUGUCACUAGAGGGCAGUGAUCAUCUUCUAGAAAGCCAAGAGAGUUCAUCAUGGAAAUCAAAUUCUGACAGUAGUCACAGAGGACAUGAUUCUGGAUCAGUGGACUGUGUCUCAGCUGUACUAAUUUUCAAUAGAAGUAAUUAGCAGCUUUCUGAGUUUUUAUCUAGGGAUCAAAUUAUGACUGGCUGCUUUGAAGGCAGAAUAUGCAGACUUGUUGGUGUGGACUGACCAAUGAUGCUAAGAAACAACAUUUGGAUGUUACUAAUGCACUUGAGCCAAGAAGAGACCCACCUAUAUUUUCAGUGAAAGAAGUUUCAAAGUACACUGAUGAAACAGGAGAACUAAGUGUGGCUACAACGCUACUGAAAGCCCAGUCCCAUUUUACGUCUCUUGCAUUACGGGCAAAGGUGUAUGUUCCCCACUAAAUGCCUUUUGCUGACCAUGACUGCAAAUAAGUUUGUGGGUAAGGCAGAGAAGCAAUGAAGUUCAUCUUUGGAACAUUCAGCCCCUUCCUGGUAUCCCAGUUCAGGACAGAAGAUCAUUGCAUCCCUGACUACAGAAAUGAUGGUGAGGUGAACAAACAAAUCUCAGUAACUAAACAACAACCAGACUUUUCUCCUACCAAAGUUUCACACCGACCAUGGACAACUUGCAAGGCUUGACCAAUGAAAAGAUCCUGCACAAUUAGCAAGGGUGCACUUGGCCUUCUUACUUCUUUUUAAGUUAAGCUCCCUUAGCUUACCUGUGACAAAACAAUCCUUGGUUUCUCAUGCAAUUUGAAUGCAUAAUUAAGAAUGAAAAAGGAGGUUUUACUGGAAAUCUGUCCUUAAUCACUCCCUUGUUUUGUGCUACUGACAGUUUUGGACAUUAUAAACAUUUUUCAAGGUGUAAAAUAGUUUCUAUGUCAUAUUCUGUACCAGAUUGCUCAAAUUCCAUUGCACGCACAACAGAGGUCUCAACAAGAUAAACAGUUAUACAUACUAUAAGGACAGGAGGCAGCAGAUACAGUUGCCUUAAACCAGUUUCAGAUCACCAAAGAAAGGUAACAUUUACAGUCUGGUAAUAAAGAAGGAAUUGCUUACCUCUUCCCAAAGAUCAGAGUUCACCAAACACUCCAAAGGAGGCAGUCUCCAAAUAGAGAAACACCCCUUGUGGUUACCAAGCCCUUAAAUGCAGUUAGGGAGCAGUGGAGUCAGGGUCCACCCCUUCUGGUUACACAGGUGAAUUGCUUCCAUCUGUACUCCCAAAACUGACCACACCUCUUCACUGGUUGCUCAAUUACUGGUUCACACCAUAAUCUAACAGUUCCCAUAUACAUACCUAUACAACAGAGACCAAAAUUAAGCCUGUGUCAGAUCAGAAUGAAACUUGGAUAAUCGGGAAAUCACCUUUAAACUCUCAUUAAGAUACCCAUUCUGAAAAUCUAACAUAUACAUCACUUUCUUUUAUACCUGUAAUAAACAAAAUUUAAAAUCUGCAGAUCUUGAUAACUAAGAACAAAACCUAUUUGAAAUCAAAUAAGGUUGUAAUGAAAAGAGAAAAUUAGCUUAACAUACGUGGACACACACGAAUAUAAAAGGAAAUAAAUAAAUAAAAAAGGAC